rnacentral:lncRNA from 1 species
UGUAGCUUAUUUGAUGUGUGUAUGUGAAUAUUUGUGAUGUGCUGUACAUCAAAUCAAUUGCAUGUGCUCUAUUGCUCUGAAUUUGUUCUGAAUUGGUAGUUGACCAUUUUGGAAGAAAAAGUACAACAAAUAAAGAUCUGUGUAGCCCUCUGAAUGAUUGUCUCAACCCAAAGUGGCCCCCUUACAAAAAAAUGGUGAGUAACACUGCUGUAGAAGAUGUAUUGAGGGACGCUGGGAUCAAGAUGUUCUGAAAGGGUUCUACAGCUGUGCUCAGUGCAGACAGACCUUCACUCCAAGGCCUACUCUGAGGAAAAAUAAGAUGUUGGCUGAGUUGGUGGAGAAACUGAAGAAGACAUGACUCCAGGAUGAAGCCUCCUGCUCUGUGCCAUGCUGGACCUGGAGAUGUGGCCUGUGAUUUCUGCACUGGGACCAGAAACCCCUCAUGUCCUGUCUGAUGUGUCUGGUGUCUUACUGUGAGGCUCACCUCCAACCUCACUAUGAAAUUCCUGGACUUAAGAAGCACAAGCUGUUGGACGUUUACUGUCGUACUGAUCAACCGUGUAUCUGUUAUCUUUGUGUUAUGGAUGAACAUAAAGGCCAUGAUACAGUGUCAGCUGCAGCAGAGAGAACUGAGAAACAGCCAGCUGGGGAUGAGUCAGCAGUUCCAGCAGAGAGUCCAGGACAGAGAGAAGGUUCUGAAGGAGCUCCAACAGGCUGGUCACAUAAACAUAUUAAACAGAUUUUAUUGCAGGUGUAGAGGAAUGCUUAUGUUCCAAUCUCCAAUAGUUCAGGGAUAUUUAACAACACAAAACAAAAAUAAUGUAGUAACUUAAUAAGAAAUAUAUACAUAUUAGGAUGAGGAAUGUCAGAGUCCGCAAAAUCAAUAAAUAAAUAUAUAUCUAUAUGAUGGGACGUAUAGACAUUACGGACAUAAAUAUAUGGAUUGAAUAUGUUCUUUAAUUGUAGAAUAUGUAGGAUAGAAUAGUAUUUGUACAGCAAUUAUUAUGUAGGAUAGGUCUUGUCUAGAGUACAGUAUUUACAUAUGAAGGGUGUAAAACAGUAUGUAAACAUUACUGAAGUGACCAGUGUUCCAUGACUAUGUACCUAGGGCAGCGGUCUCUAAGGUGCAGGGUUGAGUAACUGGGUAGAUUAUGGUUAGUGACAGGAAGGCCGGUGCCACAGGAAGGCCAGGAAGAUCAUCAAGGACCUUAGACAGGGCAUGGUACUGGGCGGAGGCCGGCUAGUGGUGACUAUUUAACAGUCUGAUGGACUUGAGAUUAAAGCUGUUUUUCAGUCUCUCUGUCCCAGCUUUGAUGCACCUCUACUGACCUCACCUUCUUGUUGAUAGUGGAGUGACAAGGCCGUGGUUCUGGUGGCUAAGGUCCUCAAUGAUCUUAUUGGCCUUCCUGUGACACCGGGUGCUGUAGGUGUCCUGGAUGGAGGACAGUGUGCCCCCGGUGAUGCUUUGGCCAGAACGCACCACCCUCUGGAGAGCCCUGCAGUUGCCGACGGUGCAGUUGCCAUACCAGGCGGUGACACAGCCUGACCCGAUACUCUCAAUGGGACAUCGAAUUUCUUCGGCUUAAUGAGGUCGAAGACGCACUGUUGAGGAUUCUUCACCACACUGCCUGUGUGUAUGGACCCUUUCAGAUUGUCAGUAAUGUGUACGCUGAGGAACUUGAAGCUUUUCACCUUCUCCACUGCGUCCUGUCGAUGUGGAUGGGAGCGUGCCCGCUCUGCUGUCUUCUGAAGUCCACGAUCAGCUCCUUCAUUUUGUUGACGUUGAGGGAGAGGUUUUUUCUUGGCACUACUCCGCCAGGGUCCUCAGUUCCUCCCUGUAGGCUGUUUUAUCAUUGUUGUUAAUCAGGCCUACUACUGCUGUGUCGUCUGCAAACAAUGAUUGAGUUGGAGGCGUGCGUGGCCAUGCAGUCAUGGGUGAACAGGGAAUACAGGAGGGGGCUGAACACGCACCCUUGUGGUGCCCCUGUGUUGCGGAUCAGCGUAGUGGAGGUGUUGUUUCUUACCUUCACCCCCUGGGGGCGUCCCGUCAGGAAGUCCAGGACCCAGUUGCACAGGGCGGGGUUCAGACCCAGGGCCCCGCGCCUAAUGAUGAACUUGGAGGGUACUAUGGUGUUGAAGGAUGAUCUAUUGUCAAUGAACAGCAUUCUUACAUAGGUGUUGCUCUUGUCCAGAUUGGAUAGGGCAGUGUGCAGUGCGAUGGCGAUUGCAUCAUCUGUGGAUCUAUUGGGGCCAUAGGUCACCACACUAGAGUGAAACUUUAUAAUGCACUUUUCUGAUUUGAUCUUUAGAUAUUUAUUUACUUUACUGUUGUAUAUCUUGUACAUUCAGGUUCAUCUCAAAAUAUUUUUUACUUUCAUAUCAAAGACUGAAUAUUGUUAGUCAUCACUUAUUAUUAUCUACGUAUGCUUUUGAAUCAAUAUGGGGUCUCUGAUAUUAAUGUGUUCUUACUGACCUGUAACUUACUGACCUGUAACUAAUAGGUACUUAGUUAUGUGAAAAUUCAAAUUAAGAUUUGAUUGGGACACUUCGCAGAUAUUGCUUGAUCAACCAUCAUCAGCCUGUCCAGCCGAUGGCAAUGUUCACCAAACAAUAGACACCGUUGCUAAUCAAUUGACGUAAUAAUCGUGGUCCAUUAAAACUCAAAACCCCCUUUGCUACAUACAUUUUUAGAAUACUCUAAAAUCUCAAGGUAUAAAAUGAAUGCUGAAAAAAUCUAAUGAAUAAUGGCAAUAAGAACAAUCGAAUGAAUAACUUAUGAUUUACAGCGAUCCUUUAAGUGGACAACAACAGAUAUCCAAUACAACUCACUUAAUAAGUGACCACAAACAACAAAUAUAUUUAUCCCAAUUAAAUUGAACAAUCUUCCCAUAAAUCUUACAGGUGAAAUAAACCUCUUCAGAGUGGCAUGGCUCCCAAAGUUCAGCUUAUUAUUCUCGAUAUAGUCAUAGUUCAAUGCACUAAAGAGGAACAAUGGGUACAUAUUGAAGAUGCUCAUCCCCAGAAUCUUUUCAGGUGCCUAUUUUCAAAAAGUAAAGCUGAGAACAUGCAUAAUUUCAUAGUUAAGAACACUAAUUCAAAAUUCAAAAGGCACUUGCACAUCUGAGCAAUCUUUUUUUGCAGGUGCCUGGUAACAGUUGAACAAGAUGAAUGAAAAAGGAAACCGCACACUGCUCUUGAUAGUAUCACUGAUCUUUAAUAAGCUUAAGUAUCGGCCUCAUGGCCUUCGUCAGAGAUUUUUUUCACAAAAGCUUAUUAAAGAUCAGUGAUACUAUCAAGAGCAGUGUGCGGUUUCCUUUUUCCUUCAUAGUUAAGAACACUAUAUCAACAUGGAAUAUAAUGAAACGUAUUCUACAUGAAUUAAUAUCACUCCCUAAAACACAAACCUAUGGAUCAAUCGUUGGAAGCUUUUCAGAAUUCACCAACACGUUGGUCCACAUGACUUGUAAAUGACUUGAUAAUAGGAAAUACACGUAUUUCCAUGACAGAAUUAAAAGCAAUUAGGGACUGACCAAUGUAGAUCAUUUCAAAUACAUGCAACAUAAAAACGUAACAUCCCGAAAUUUCGAUAUCAAAGCAGUCUUUGGGGAAUCCUUUUUGUGUCAGGAUGUUCAUACAGUAGGUAAGAUAUAAAACCUUGCAGAGAGCCUAUCCAACUGACAAUCUCUUAGAAAAAAAAAUAAACUAUUGGAACCAAGACUUAAAAAGAACUGACAUUGGCACUAGAUGAAGGGAAAGUUGGAACAUAACUAGCGAAAUUACAGUUAACGAAAAUGUAUGCAGAAUAAAGGAAAGUAAAGAAUUUAUAAUAAAAGACACAACAUUCACUAAUUCUACAGCACGAUGGCAUAAUCAUGUUUUAAGUGUCAAAUAAUUAAUGUCUUCUGGGAGUACUUUCAAGUCCAAAAGUUAUGUGCGGAGUUAGAAAGUUGGCUGUCAGAGGUUUUAGACCCACUGGCUCCAGGUCAUCUAUAAGUCCAUGCUAGGUAAAGCUCCGCCUUAUCUCAGUUCACUGGUCACGGUAACAACACCGACCCGUAGCACACGUUCCAGCAGGAAUAUCUCCCUGAUCAUCCCCAAAGCCAGCACCUCAUUUGGCCGCCGUUCCUUCCAGUUCUCUGCUGCCAGUGACUGGAACGAAUUGCAAAAAUCGCUGAAGUUGGAGACUUUUAUUUCCCUCACCAACUUUAAACAUCAACUAUCUGAGCAGCUAACCGAUCGCUGCAGCUGUACAUAGUCCAUCUGUAAAUAGCCCACCCAAUCUACCUACCUCAUCCCCAUACUGUUUUUAUUUUAUUUACUUUUCUGCUCUUUUGCACACCAGUAUCUCUACUUGCACAUCAUCCUCUGCUCAUUUAUCACUCCAGUGUUAAUCUGCUAAAUUGUAAUUAUUCGCUCCUAUGGCCUAUUUAUUUUCUACCUCCUCAUGCCUUUUGCACACACUGAAUAUAGACUUUCUAUUUUCUACUGUGUCAUUGGCUUGUUUAUUGUUUACUCCAUGUGUAACUCUGUGUUGUUGUCUGUGUCACACUGCUUUGCUUUAUCUUGGCCAGGUCGCAGUUGUAAAUGAGAACUUGUUCUCAACUAGCCUACCUGGUU